rnacentral:rRNA from 1 species
UACAGAGGGUGCGAGCGUUGUUCGGAAUUAUUGGGCGUAAAGCGCGUGUAGGCGGUGAUGCAUGUCGGGUGUGAAAGCCCUCAGCUCAACUGAGGAAGUGCGCCCGAAACUGCAUCGCUGGAGUGCCGGAGAGGAAGGCGGAAUUCCCGGUGUAGAGGUGAAAUUCGUAGAUAUCGGGAGGAACACCAGUGGCGAAGGCGGCCUUCUGGACGGACACUGACGCUGAGACGCGAAAAGCGUGGGGUAGCAAACAGG